AUUGAACGCUGGCGGCAGGCCUAACACAUGCAAGUCGGACGAGUGGCGGACGGGUGAGUAAUGUAUGGGAAUCUGCCUGAUGGAGGGGGAUAACUACUGGAAACGGUAGCUAAUACCGCAUACCAUCAGAUGUGCCCAUAUGGGAUUAGCUUGUAGGUGGGGUAACGGCUCACCUAGUCGACGAUCCCUAGCUGGUCUGAGAGGAUGAUCAGCCACACUGGGACUGAGACACGGUCCAGACUCCUACGGGAGGAAGCAGUGGGGAAUAUUGCACAAUGGGCGCAAGCCUGAUGCAGCCAUGCCGAGUGUGUGAAGAAGGCCUUCGGGUUGUAAAGCACUUUCAGCCAGGAGGCGUUACUCGCAGAAGAAGCACCGGCGAACUCCGUGCCAGCAGCCGCGGUAAUAC
rnacentral:rRNA from 1 species